rnacentral:rRNA from 1 species
AUUGAACGCUGGCGGCAGGCUUAACACAUGCAAGUCGAGCGAGCGGCGGACGGGUGAGUAAUGUCUGGGAAACUGCCUGAUGGAGGGGGAUGACUACUGGAAACGGUAGCUAAUACCGCAUACCAUCAGAUCUGCCCCGAUGGUAUUCGCUAGUAGGUUGGGUAAUGGCUCACCUAGGCGACGAUCCCUAGCUGGUCUGAGAGGAGGACCAGCGAAACUGGAACUGAGACACGGUCCAGACGCCUACGGCAGGCAGCAGUGGGGAAUAUUUCACAGUGGGCGCAAGCCGGAGGCAGCCACGCCGCGUGUGUGAAGAAGGCCUUCGGGUUGCAAAGCACUUUCAGCGAGGAGGCGUUACUCGCAGAAGAAGCACCGGCUAACUCCGUGCCAGCAGCCGCGGUAAUAC